GCGGCCACCUCCCGCCGGUCUCCGCCACCUCCCGCCGGUCUCGCCCAUCGUCUUCCUCUCGCUCAGGUGUUUUCCUUCCCACAGAUCUCUGUAAAAAGAGAGACGCUGACCUCCUCCCUGCUCUCCUCGCUACCUGCCGCCGGUCUCUGGCGUCGCCUUCUUCCUUAUUGUCACCGGCGUCGGCUUUCUUCUCCAAUCUCCUUCAGCUUGCACAGGAUGGCAUCCUUGAUCUGAAUAAAGUUGCAGAAACACUGGAGGUCCAAAAGAGAAGGAUAUAUGACGUCACAAAUGUCCUUGAAGGGAUUGGACUGAUAGAAAAGAAACUUAAGAACAGAAUUCGUUGGAAGGGAGUAGAUGGCUUAACGCCAGGAGUGCUUGAUGAUGAUGUUUCAAAUUUAGAGGGGGGAGUUCAAAAUCUUACCUUGCAGAAGCACAGCCUAGAUGAUCAUACGAGGUUGGUUGCUGGUCAAACUACUGCAUUAUAAUUAUAAAUAGUUUUUACCAUUUCUCUGAUGAUUUUACAUUCUUUAAAAUGGAGGCAUAAUAACUAAUAAGGAAUAACUAUAUUCUGGAAUUUUCUUAAAAUAUCUUUAUUUCAAUUUUGAGGAAUAAAUGGAUAGAAAGUUCUUUAUGGUGUUUGACAGGAUAAUAAUAAACAACUUCAAUAGGAUGGUUCUAUUUUGAGUAAGCCAGUUGAGGGAUGGAUGAAGCCAGAACAUAAUAUCAAUUGGUUAUAUUUUUUUUGUAAAUAUUUUUUUUAUUUGAAUUUUGCUAAAUGGAUCCUAUUAAAGUUCGAGAUGGGUCGGAUACCUGAAAAAAUCUAUCCAACUGACAUCCCUAAGCUCAUUAUAGCAUUAGAUGUGGGAUCGACUCAUUACAUUUUUGGGCCCAUGUAUUGUAUUUUAACAUAAUUCUUUUUGGAUUUUUUUAGAUUAAUUUUAAUAAUUUAUGUCCAUUAGAUUUAUUAUGUAUGGAUGGAAAAAUAUUAUAAGAUAAAAAAAUUGAUUGCAUUAAUUAGAUGACAUUAAUUCAUCAAAUUUUUUUUAUUUUUAAAAUUAAUUUUAGAAUUUUAUAUUUAAAUUUAUUAUAUAUGAUCCAAAAAAUAUCGAAAGAUCAGCGUAAAUAAAGCUAAUAGUUUUGGUUGUAUAAAAUUGUAAUAUAUACAUAUUUAUAUAUUUAAUUAAAAAAAUUAAUAAUUAAAAAAUUAAGUUUAAAAUUAUGGAUUAUAUUUUUUGAUAGGUUUUAAGAUAUAAUGUUCAAUAUUUAGAUAUCAAAUAUUAAAUAUUUAAAAUUAUAGUUUAUUUCUUCACUUAUUUUGAUUUUUAUUUUAUUAUAAAAUUUAAUUCAGUAAACUAUAAUAAAUUUUUUUGGCACUAGUUUUUUCGGUUUAGAUGAAGAGAUUAGGUCAAAUGAAAAUUAGCAUGAAAAUUAGCAUGAACGUUAGUUCAUCGGUCAAUAAAAAUAUUGUAUGUUAUAUAGUAUGAAAAUUUUAUAUAUUGAUAAAAUAUUUUAAAUUUUUAUUUUUAUUUAAAUUAAAUAUUAUUAUACACGUAAGGUUAAGAGGUGAUCUCCAGCAUAGGCAUGUUUUUUCUCUUUUUUCACUUCUGAAACUCUACCUUUGCACGCUUUCGUUCCCAUAGAUCUCUGAAAAAGAGAACGAAAUAAAAAGAAGAAAAAGGAAAACGAAAAAAAAAUUGAUCAAUCUAUGCGGAAAAGGUCUUGCCUUUUCAUUUUUCCUUCUUUCCUUCGUUUUUCUUCGUGGAUUUUUCCUAUGUUGUUCCCAUGAAUGCUGCCGAAACCGCCGUGGAGAUCCCCUACCCGAACGGCGGCCCAAAGGCGGAGCCCCUCUGCAACGGAGGAUCCGCCGCCUCCACCGCAGUCGAGAAAAAAAGCCCGUGAGAGCGAGUGUCGCCGGCGACGGAGGAAGUAGAAGAACAGCAAGGCUUUGUCCUCUCUGCCGACACCAAGGGAUUCGUGUUUGAUGGGAGGAGAGGUGAAAAGAGAAAGCAGAAUACCAGACUUUUUGGACGACAACGUUCUGAAUCUUCAAGCAGGUUUUGAUUAAUUUGCACAAAAAUGUGUCAGUCUCAAUCAAGGGUAACAUAAUGGUGGGACAAGGGAGGCAGUAUCAUACUGCUCAUAUAACAGAGGUAUUGCUUACACAUCUCUUCAAGAGAAAGAUUAGCUGUUGGUUGCCUGAAAUUCAGGAACAUGUGUUGGCAAUUGGAGGCAACACAAGGAUGGUUGGCUUGCGAUUAAAGGGGCAUGAUGUUUUUUAGCACUUAUCCUUCUGCUCUUAAAAAGGUAAUUACAUAACAAAAGUGCAAUUAAUAUAAUUACUUCAAGAGUAGAAAAUGAAUAAAUGGCAAGACUAAAUCCUCUGAAACAGAUACUGUUUGCAUCCAAUUGGAGAAGACCCAGUUGAUCUAUCAACAUAUAUAUAAUUCUUCUGGGCCCUGACCCAGUUAGAGAGGUCCAUUUCAAGUGGACAAGAUGACCAAAAAUGAUGAGAAUAAGCAAUGGUUACCACCUUCUUUUCAAGUCUCACAAACAUUGCAUGGUACUCAUACAUUGUCGCCAGGAAUCUAUUCAUGUAAAUAAUAGCUAGCAUUUAAUUUGGAGGAGAUUUUAGCAUUCUAAUGGAUAGAGCAAGUGAUAUGAGAAACAAUAUAUUGCAAGGCAAUAUUUAAGGCUACUACCUGGAGCUAGAGUGUUUCCCAUGUAACAAACCAAAUAAUAAGCCCAGGUGCACUGCACUUAAAUGGAUUGAUAAAUGAAGUGUUCACUCCAAUAACCAUCUUAUUGGGUCAGAAUAGAUACGUGAAAGCAACUGCUUGUAAUAUUAGUCAAAUGAAAAACAAAUGACUUAAGGUGAAAUGUGGUGUUGACAAGUUGGAUCUUAAACAUAAUCUUAAGAUGCCACAUAAGCAUGACUCAAAAGAUGAAUUAUAUGAUUAGUUGAAUUAUGUGAUGUAUAGUUAUAGUAUUGUGCUAGGUAUAAAGUCAAAGUACAUAAAAAUAAUAUAUUAUAUUAAUUGAUCACUUAUGACUUUUUCAUGUUCAUGAAUAUUUGCAUUGAAAACAACAAAGCCUCUUAAAAUUCUCAAAUUUUUUCUAUCUCAAGACAUUAUGGUCAAAAACUUAUCAAAAUGAAAAAGCCAAAUGCACUACCCUUUACAGCCCUCAUUUUUACUCUCUAUGGUAUUAAAUUUAGAAAAUAAAAAUCUUUCUCUUUCUUUACCGUCAAUAGAAGAAUUCGAUCAAUAAACAAAUAAAAGAAGAAAAAACAAAGAAUAUACCAAUGGUUGCUGGUGCCGGCCAUGAUCGGACAGCGACCUAUCUUAUGAACAAAAUUCUUUCUACAGCUUUGUUUUCUAAUCUCCAUCAGAAUCUGAAUUUAGUGUAAUUCAUUUCCUUCCAGAUUUUUUAGUUUAAAGGUUUUGAUUGCAUUUCUUUUGAAAAGAGGAGCAGAUCCCUCUUUUAGCAGGAUGCUAUUUCUUCCUUUUGUAAAGCUUUGGAUUCCAGUUUUUUGUCAUAAAAUUAAUCAAUGGAAAAAAGCCUCUACAUUCUACACCUCUUGCUACUUUAAAUGGAUGCGUUUGUUACUUUUUAGUUUUUUUUGCCUAUGUAAGACUUAGGUUUAUAUGGUGGUUCCUUUUUGAUUCUAUGCAAUUGGAAGGCUUGGUAAAGGGACUUGCAAACUGCACUAGAGUAACAUGACUUGCUUGGUACUUUCUUAUUCUGCCAUAAUGUUAUCUUAUGGCAGUUUUUUUGAUGUAUCCUAUCUUGCUUCUUAACAAUAAGAGGAUGUUUGGUUGAGGGGAAUGGUGACUCCCAUUCCAACUGUUUGGUUGGAAGGAAUUUCAUUCCGAUUUCGAUUUUGGAAUGGAAUGAGAAUGGCUCAAUCUAUAUAGAACUCAAUCCCUACUCUCCUCUAUGGAUUCAAAUUUUCAAUCCGAUUCUGAUUCCGGCCACCAACCAAAUGCUUUGGGGGAUUUGGCCAUUCCAAUUCUGAUUCCAAGCCAUUCUGAUUUUCAUUCUGAUUUCGGUCGCGAACCAAACACUCCCUAAAUAUGAAUAGACCGGAUGAGUUGGAUAUUUGAUAAAUUGGUUGGACUCUUCGUGGAAUAGCUUGAAUCAGGUGUGCUUCCGAUAUGGUGCUAUUAUAUCUGUGGUGGUCCAUAAAAUGUUUAUAUGAAUGUGUUAUUUGUCUUAAUGGGGGAGUUGCUCUGCAGGUGCUGCUUUGGUUUGGUCUUUUUCUUAGUUGGUGAUUACAAUUUUUAUGUUCCAUAAUGCUGCACAGAUUAGAUUGUUGUGCCUCUAAUCAGGUUCAUGUGUUCGUAACUGUUGGGGCUUCUACUUGCUUAUCACAUUCUUUUUGCUACUCUUGGAAAUGCAAUAUCUUUUGCAUAUAUAAAAUGCAGUGGCCUGUCGUGGAGAAAAGAGUGGUCUGUUCUGCAAAAGCAGAGGCAGUUAGAUAUGUUUUUUUUUUUUAAUGAUGUACAGACGACUUUGAUGGUAGCAGCAUACUACACUGAAGGAUUGAAAUUAUAUUAAUGUAUCAACUCUGUAAUUUUUUUUUUUACAGAUAAUUUUUUUUUCAGUCUAUUGUAAAUCUCAUAUUGGAUAUUGUUUUUUCUGUUCAAAAUAUGUAAAGUUUACUAUUUCAAAAA